UACAGAGGUCCCAAGCGUUGUUCGGAUUCACUGGGCGUAAAGGGCGCGUAGGUUGCCGGGUAAGUUCGAUGUGAAAGCUCUGAGCUCAACUCAGAAAUGGCAUUGAAUACUAUCCGGCUAGAGGGUUGGAGGGGGGACUGGGAUUCUCGGUGUAGCAGUGAAAUGCGUAGAUAUCGAGAGGAACACCAGUGGCGAAGGCGAGUCCCUGGACAACUCCUGACACUGAGGCGCGAAAGCUAGGGGAGCAAGCGGG
rnacentral:rRNA from 1 species